AAUAAGCAAAAUAAGGGCGUAUGGGGAAUGCCUAGGCUCUCAGAGGCGAUGAAGGACGUGAUAAGCUGCGAAAAGCUACGGGGAUUGGCACACACGAAUUGAUCCGUAGAUAUCCGAAUGGGGCAACCCACUAUGUUGAAGACAUAGUACUCCGAUAGGAGAGUAAACCCGCUGAACUGAAACAUCUAAGUAGGCGGAGGAGAAGAAAACAAAAGUGAUUCCGUAAGUAGUGGCGAGCGAACGCGGAUUAGCCCAAACCAAUGUUGUUACGGCAAUAUUGGGGUUGUAGGA
rnacentral:rRNA from 1 species